CAAGGGAAAAGUGUGAAAAUUCAAGUAAUCAAGCAAUCAAAGGUGGUGAAUCCUUCGAUAAAGGUAAAAAAAUUGUACCCGAUGAUCGAUAGUCAGAGUACUCUAAAAAUUUGACUUUCGAAAUACUUGCUGCAGUGGGCGAGUUCUGUGGACCAGCGUAUUAG